CCUACGGGUGGCAGCAGUCGAGAAUCAUUCACAAUGGGGGAAACCCUGAUGGUGCGACGCCGCGUGGGGGAAUGAAGGUCUUCGGAUUGUAAACCCCUGUCAUGUGGGAGCAAAUUAAAAAGAUAGUACCCCAAGAGGAAGAGACGGCUAACUCUGUGCCAGCAGCCGCGGUAAUACAGAGGUCUCAAGCGUUGUUCGGAAUCACUUGGCGUAAAGCGUGCGUAGGCUGUUUCGUAAGUCGUGUGUGAAAGGCGCGGGCUCAACCCGCGGACGGCACCUGAUACUGCGAGACUAGAGUAAUGGAGGGGGAACCGGAAUUCUCGGUGGAGCAGUGAAAUGCGUAGAUAUCGAGAGGAACACUCGUGGCGAAGGCGGGUUCCUGGACAUUAACUGACGCUGAGGCACGAAGGCCAGGGGAGCGAAAGGGAUUAGAUACCCGAGUAGUC
rnacentral:rRNA from 1 species